rnacentral:rRNA from 1 species
AUGGAUUUGGGCCCAACAGGAGUGGAGAUAGAUGGAAGUGGAGACAGACUCGGCCCAAAAGUGCGAGGGAAGAGAGGCAGUGAUCAUCGACGGACGAGCCGUCUCAAGAAGGUGACGAUGCUUGUGCUCAGCCACACCAUUCUGAGCAUGUGCACAUGGAUAAGAGAACCGAAUGCAAGAGUACCCUAUUCAACAAGGAUUCCAUGCAACAGCUUGGGAGAUAUACUCUCCACUAGAGUCAUCACAGAACACACGAAUAGACGUAUAGAAUUGAGUAUGAAGCAUGGCAACAAAACGCUUAUAGAUAAGACCUCACUACGACAAGAAAUAAAGUAUAUAUAUCCAAGUGAUGACUUCCUUUGGAGACAAUGGGAGAUGGACCACCGACAUCAGAGUGAAGAAGGUCGAAAGGUGGCUGAGACACUGUCUUGCUAUGAGUACAAGGUAAUUGGACCUGUUUACCAAGCUGACAACCUUGACGGUUUAGAGACAUCGUCGGGUACGAAUCCAAGAAGACCACGUCAAACUAAGGAUGAGAGAUCACAAUUGACCCAAGGCGAUGAUGCCACUGCUGAAAAUAAUUGGUAG